UUCUCUUAAAAGGAAGAGGCAAUUUUUCAUCUUCUGAAGUCAUGAGUGGUAUUCGUGGAAUAAAUACAUGUCUAUUUUUAAAAUCACCGCUAGAUAUUGUUGCACUGAUAACAUGAGGUUUAAAAUCAUUACAUAUUAAGCGUGUCCCAUUGCAUAAACCUUCACAAGGAUUUAAAUUUCUUAAUAACAUAAUCGGACAAUUUUUCUUCAAAGUUAAUUUGUAUGGAGGCAAACCAGUAGGAUUUAAAGUGUGUAAGAAAUCUUCAUAUUCACUUUGAUCGUUUGGAUCAAUAGUUUCAUCUAUAGCAAUAUACACUUUUUCAGUGUUUGGAAAUUGAGAGAUCAACAUGUCAUUUAUUUCAUCAACAAAAUCAUUUUUAGUUGUUAGAAUAGCACGAGAAGUAAUAAACGAAGUUUUUGAACAUCAUGUGUAUAAAUCAGGAUAAGUAUUUCUAAAGAGAAGAUUUAGAGAUUCUUUUUCAGAAGUAAAAGGAAUAAUGAGAGAAUGAGGAAUUUCAAAUUUUCCAUGGUCAUUUGUUUUUUCUUUUCCAUCACCAAUUCUCAUUAAAUAUUCACAAAAUUUAGGAUCUUUAGUUGCACGCAUAUUCUU
rnacentral:lncRNA from 1 species